AUCAGCGUUUAAUUGCGUGUGUCUUAAUAGAAAAAAAUAGCUGAUUUCCAAAUUAUACAUCAAAGUAUGACCUCGUCUAGUUCAGGAGAGUCCUUCGUAUAAAUGCACUGGUGUGUGUAUGUGUGUGUGAGUGUUAUUGCUAGUUACCUCUCUCUCUCUCUCUCUCUCUCUCUCUCUCUCUCUCUGUCAGUAGUUGCACAGGUCUUCAAGGGUAUUUUUACGGUUUUAGUGACAGAUUAACAACAUUUCUACAUUAAUAACAGGAGAAACACCAUUGAAAACCCUGAUAAUCAUCUUUAUACCUUUGAAAAACAGUCGUGAGGAGAGAGAGAGAGAGAGGGGGAGAGUAGGAGCAUUUCAGUUGAGCCUAUUCUGCCCUGGUUCGUGUUUGCUGCGGUGACACGGUGCCGCACUGAGUGAAGAUUGCGUUCUUAAUCACUUAUCGGGGGUGGAGUGGGGAAAGGAGAGUCAGGAAGUGAGGAUAUUUAUAUUAUUUGACAUAUUAUUUGAUAGCAUGUCAACUUUUGUGUGUGUGUGUGUGUGGGUGGGUGUUGGAUCAGUGACAGGUGGCGCUGGGGAGUUACCACGGCGAGCGGCUGGCUGGCUGCAGUGUUUUGGUCAGCACUGGUCAAUCUUGCCCUAUACGCUCUAUUAACCAGUGUUUCUGUCUUCCCGACACCUUCUUCCUGCACCAAGCACCGUCAAGCAUCACCAGAGAGGCACGAGUACGUAAGUGUGAAUGGACAACAGUAAGGAGCUCAGAAAUUGAAUCAACACACCAGAGAACCUGUCUUGUACCCAAAUGGCCUGAUAUAUAACAUUUUGAACCAGCAGUGGAAUGCACAGAUCCUGAUUCAUAUAUAGACCUGAUGGCUUCUUCACAGUUAAUACAUGGGGGUGACAUGGUACAGUGAUACCACAGGCACUUUGGGGGCCAAGGGAUCCUCAGAUGCAUACAGGUUUGAAUCCUGGCCUUGGUCUGAGGAUAGGAAGGGCAUCCACUCAGGGUAAUGAUUCCUAAAUGCCAUAACCAAAGGAGGCACCAUCCUAGCCUUAAUACACUAGGGAAACCAAAUGUUAAAGCAGUUAAUCUGUCAUUUCAUUGUUAACAACUAAUUGAAAGCUCUAUCCACAAAGUCUACAUGCAUUCACAUGGCAAGGUACAGAAAUAAAACAAUGUAGAGGAAGAUCAUUCUUGAGGAAAUUAUGCACUAUAACAACAGUAAAUUACUAUGAUACAGGUGUAAAAAAAAAAAAAAAAAAUUAAAGUUUAAACUGCUGCAGCAACUUUAAUGGGCUUCUCAGACUGAAGGUAAAGUCCGUGAUUAAUCUUGAAA